AUGAGUUUUUAUCUCGUCUCCGCUCUGAGUUUGAGCCCAGACGUGCUCACUUGCUUGCUCGUGGUCGUGUUCCUAUCUCGGAGGUGCUUGCCGAGCUUCGUGCUGAGGAGACUCGCCUUCGCUCUGCUGGUCUGCUGGUGGUCCCGUCUGUAUUGGCUGCUCGGGCUCCAGUGUCGUCCGCUCGGCUCACUGCUCCCCCGCUCCUACCCACGCCUUCAGGGGGGUCGUCCUGCUUAUGCUGAGAAGGGCCGGUCGCGACGUGACACCUUCUGCGGCUACUGCUCUCGGCCAGGUCAUCCCGAGUCUGAUUCCCGUGAGAAGAAGCGAGACCAGAGGCGCUCCUCUUCCAGUGGGACUCCUGGAUCUUUCUCGACUGCGUCACUCACCGGCCAGGACAUUGUGAGGCUCAAGCGUCUCUUGGCUUCCUCAGGCUCUUUGUCGACUGGUUUCGCUGCUGCUGUAACUGUAUCUACCUCUCCAUCACCGCAGGCACCUACUCAGUCAGGUACAUCUUCGUGGGUUCUGGAUUCUGGAGCCUCCUUUCAUGUCUUCUAA
rnacentral:rRNA from 1 species